rnacentral:rRNA from 1 species
CGUUCCCGGGCCUUGUACACACCGCCCGUCACACCAUGGGAGUUGGUUUUACCCGAAGCCGGUGGGCUAACCGCAAGGAGGCAGCCGACCACGGUAAGGUCAGCGACUGGGUG